UGGCCCAAGAUCGUUUACCGUGAAAAAAUUAGAGUGUUCAAAGCAGGCAGAUCCAAUUUUCUGCCACCGAAUACAUUAGCAUGGGAUAAUGGAAUAGGACCCUGUCCUCCUAUUUUCAGUUGGUUUUGGCAGCGCGAGGACUAGGGUAAUGAUUAAUAGGGAUAGUUGGGGGCAUUAAUAUUUAAUUGUCAGAGGUGAAAUUCUUGGAUUUAUGAAAGAUUAACUUCUGCGAAAGCAUCUGCCAAGGAUGUUUUCAUUAAUCAAGAACGAAAGUUAGGGGAUCGAAGACGAUCAGAUACCGUCGUAGUCUUAACCAUAAACGAUGCCGACCAGCGAUUAGGAGACGUUGAAUACAAAACACCACCAUCGGUUGCGCGGUCAUCCUUGGCGUCUCGGUUUCGGCCGGGGCGCGGGGAUGGCUAGCCCGGUGGACUCACU
rnacentral:rRNA from 1 species